CACCUGGGGACAAUUUGUCUCCAACCUUCUGUGUCUUUUGAACCCCUCUUCAUUUGUGUUUGAUCUAAAAAAGACAUGUUAGAAUUAGGAGAGAUGUAGGCCCAAUCAUUUCAUAAAAAACAUUCUGGUUGAAAGCAAAUUGGAAUGGACACUUACAAAAACUGUUUGCGAUCAACAAGACAGGGUGACCAUGGUCUAGGAAAAUUGGCUUAUCUAAGUACAUUAAGUCCUUUCUUCAGCAACAAGGGGGAACAGCAACUUCAGUGCAACUUCAGAACUUCUCUCCCCCAUUCAACCAGCACAGCCAGUACUGCAUGCCUCCAGCAGCUAUUCUUAGGACAACAGAACUCACUUCAAGAUUGCCACCUUCCUGAAUAUAUGCAACAGACAGUAGAUUGCAAUGCACUGAAAGACUGAUUUUACACAAGUAUGGAAAAUAUUAGGUCCAAGUCCUAUUGGGAAUUGGGUUUACUGAUUCAUGGCAAAACUGCAACAAAUUCUUCAAAGACGUGAUUCCUAUGAGAUGUGAUAAGAAAUAAGUCUAGCAGGAGACAGUCAAGUGAAACUCAAUAAAGCAGUGGAUAACACUUCCUUUGUGGCAGGUGAGCCAAAGCAAUAGGAAAGGAAAACCUAACAGCACAGUUCUCAGCAGCGUGAUGCAUCCCUUAAUAUCGACCAGAAGAGGAACAAACACACACCCUCAUUUCAUGGCACUCAU